rnacentral:lncRNA from 1 species
AGGAAUAUUAGGAAUGAUUCCAAGACCUACGAUGAGGUGAUCUUAGAUGUAGACUUCGAGAAAUAGAAGAAAGUGAUGAAGUCAGAAAUUGACUCCAUACAUUUCAAUCAAAUUUGGACCUUAGUAGAUCCAUCUAAAGAUAUUGUACUUAUUGGAUGUAAAUAGAUCUAUAAAAAAAAAAUUGAUUCAAAUUGUCAGGUG